GCAGUGGUAGCUUGGUGGUUAAGACGUUGGGCUACUGAUCAGAAGGUUGUGAGUUCAAACCGCCGCACUGCC